GACGAACGCUGGCGGCGUGCUUAACACAUGCAAGUCGAACGGAAAGGCCCUGCAUUUGUGGGGUGCUCGAGUGGCGAUCGGGUGAGUAACACGUGAGUAACCUGCCCUUGACUUUGGGAUAACUUCAGGAAACUGGGGCUAAUACCGGAUAGGAGCUCCUGCUGCAUGGUGGGGGUUGGAAAGUUUCGGCGGUUGGGGAUGGACUCGCGGCUUAUCAGCUUGUUGGUGGGGUAGUGGCUUACCAAGGCUUUGACGGGUAGCCGGCCUGAGAGGGUGACCGGCCACAUUGGGACUGAGAUACGGCCCAGACUCCUACGGGAGGCAGCAGUGGGGAAUAUUGCACAAUGGGCGGAAGCCUGAUGCAGCAACGCCGCGUGCGGGAUGACGGCCUUCGGGUUGUAAACCGCUUUCGCCUGUGACGAAGCGUGAGUGACGGUAAUGGGUAAAGAAGCACCGGCUAACUACGUG
rnacentral:rRNA from 1 species